ACAAGCGGUGGAGCAUGUGGUUUAAUUCGACGCAACGCGAAGAACCUUACCAGGGCUUGACAUCCCCUGACAACCCGAGAGAUCGGGCGUUCCCCUUCGGGGGGACAGGGUGACAGGUGGUGCAUGGUUGUCGUCAGCUCGUGUCGUGAGAUGUUGGGUUAAGUCCCGCAACGAGCGCAACCCUCGACCUUAGUUGCCAGCAUUCAGUUGGGCACUCUAAGGUGACUGCCGGCUAAAAGUCGGAGGAAGUGGGGAUGACGUCAAAUCAUCAUGCCCCUUAUGACCUGGGCUACACACGUGCUACAAUGGGCGGUACAAAGGGUCGCGAACCCGCGAGGGGGAGCCAAUCCCAAAAAGCCGCUCUCAGUUCGGAUUGCAGGCUGCAACUCGCCUGCAUGAAGCCGGAAUCGCUAGUAAUCGCGGAUCAGCAUGCCGCGGUGAAUACGUUCCCGGGCCUU
rnacentral:rRNA from 1 species